rnacentral:rRNA from 1 species
GACGAACGCUGGCGGCGCGCUUAACACAUGCAAGUCGAACGGAAAGGCCUGCUUUCCCUUGUGGAUUGCGGGUACUCGAGUGGCGAACGGGUGAGUAACACGUGAGUGAUCUGCCCCCAACUUGGGUAUAAGCCUGGGAAACUGGGUCUAAUUCCCGAUAGGACUGCAGGGUGGUGCCUGUGGUGGAAAACGAUUUUCUAGUGGUUGGGGAUGAGCUCGCGGCCUACCAGCUUGUUGGUGGGGUAAUGGCCUACCAAGGCGGCGACGGGUAGCCGGCCUGAGAGGGUGGACGGCCACAUUGGGACUGAGAUACGGCCCAGACUCCUACGGGAGGCAGCAGUGGGGAAUAUUACACAAUGGGCGGAAGCCUGAUGCAGCGACGCCGCGUGGGGGAUGACGGCCUUCGGGUUGUAAACUCCUUUCGACCGCGAGGAAGCCACCUGGUUGGAAGGGUGGUGACGGUAGUGGUAGAAGAAGCACCGGCUAACUACGUG